GAGCCUGGAAUCCGGGCGCCGGGGCCCUUCGGGGGCUGGGCACGAGCGACUCUGGCAGUGGAAAGACGAUACUCUCGGGGUCUGAGGAUCUGGGGUGUCUGCCUCAGGACGAGGCGUGCGCCGGCACUGGCAGUGGCAGCGCCGAGGGCCUGGCUGCCGACGGCCCCCACCUGCACACGCUGACGCAGCCUAUCGUGGUCACCGUGCCGCGGCCGCCCCCCAGGCCGCCCAAGAGCGUCCCCGGCCGCGCCGUGCGCCCUGAGCCUCCCGCCCCGGCCCCCGCGGCCCUGGAACCCGCGCCGGUGGUGGCGCUGGUGUUAGCAGCCUUCGUGCUGGGCGCCGCGCUGGCCGCCGGGCUGGGCCUCGUCUGUGCGCACUCAGCACCCCAGGCCCCUGGCCUGCCCGCGAGAGCCUCGCCCAGCGGUCCCCAGCCCAGGAGGCCCCAGUGAGGAAGACCGAUGGAAGAGGCCAGUGGUCUGCUGGGAAGGGAGGUGGCCCGCGUAGCGUCCCCUCCCUCACUGAGCCUCAGCCACCCCUCCCAGGGAUGGUGCGCCCCCAACGUGGUCCGGAGAUACACCCAGCUACCAAUUCGGGACCAGGACCAACAGGACCGGACCCGCCUCCCUGGACCUCGGACCUGAUGGGGCCACGACCCCUGCGCUUCUCUCCUCCCCCUGUCCCUCCCACCUGUGCUCAAAAUAAACCUCUGGACUGACCGG
rnacentral:sRNA from 1 species